GACGAACGCUGGCGGCGUGCUUAACACAUGCAAGUCGAACGAAGAGCGAUGGAAGCUUGCUUCUAUCAAUCUUAGUGGCGAACGGGUGAGUAACGCGUAAUCAACCUGCCCUUCAGAGGGGGACAACAGUUGGAAACGACUGCUAAUACCGCAUACGAUCUAACCUCGGCAUCGAGGAUAGAUGAAAGGUGGCCUCUACAUGUAAGCUAUCACUGAAGGAGGGGAUUGCGUCUGAUUAGCUAGUUGGAGGGGUAACGGCCCACCAAGGCGAAGAUCAGUAGCCGGUCGGAGAGGAUGAACGGCCACAUUGGGACUGAGACACGGCCCAGACUCCUUCGGGAGGCAGCAGUGGGGAAUCUUCCGCAAUGGACGAAAGUCUGACGGAGCAACGCCGCGUGAGUGAUGACGGCCUUCGGGUUGUAAAGCUCUGUUAAUCGGGACGAAAGGCCUUCUUGCGAAUAGUUAGAAGGAUUGACGGUACCGGAAUAGAAAGCCACGGCUAACUACGUG
rnacentral:rRNA from 1 species